GCGGGUAUGGCGAAACUGGUAGACGCGCUGGAUUUAGGUUCCAGUGGGGAAACCCAUAAGAGUUCAAGUCUCUUUACCCGCACCA
rnacentral:tRNA from 1 species